CGGUAGCUAAUACCGCAUAACGUCGCAAGACCAAAGUGGGGGACCUUCGGGCCUCAUGCCAUCAGAUGUGCCCAGAUGGGAUUAGCUAGUAGGUGGGGUAACGGCUCACCUAGGCGACGAUCCCUAGCUGGUCUGAGAGGAUGAUCAGCCACACUGGAACUGAGACACGGUCCAGACUCCUACGGGAGGCAGCAGUGGGGAAUAUUGCACAAUGGGCGCAAGCCUGAUGCAGCCAUGCCGCGUGUAUGAAGAAGGCCUUCGGGUUGUAAAG
rnacentral:rRNA from 1 species